ACAUGCAAGUCGAGGGGCAGCAUGGUCUUAGCUUGCUAAGGCCGAUGGCGACCGGCGCACGGGUGAGUAACACGUAUCCAACCUGCCGUCUACUCUUGGACAGCCUUCUGAAAGGAAGAUUAAUACAAGAUGGCAUCAUGAGUCCGCAUGUUCACAUGAUUAAAGGUAUUCCGGUAGACGAUGGGGAUGCGUUCCAUUAGAUAGUAGGCGGGGUAACGGCCCACCUAGUCUUCGAUGGAUAGGGGUUCUGAGAGGAAGGUCCCCCACAUUGGAACUGAGACACGGUCCAAACUCCUACGGGAGGCAGCAGUGAGGAAUAUUGGUCAAUGGGCGCAGGCCUGAACCAGCCAAGUAGCGUGAAGGAUGACUGCCCUAUGGGUUGUAAACUUCUUUUAUAA
rnacentral:rRNA from 1 species